rnacentral:misc_RNA from 1 species
GGAGGGAUCAUUAUUGGAAAAACUCUUUCUAAAAAAAAAAAAAAAGUGGUAGGAAGGGAGGGAAGAGAUAGGGAGAGGGAGAGAAAAAAGUGUUGCUUCUUUUGCUCACUUUUUUUUUACCUCUUUCCUCUUUUUCUUCUCUUUCUACUACUUCAAACAAACGAUCGCAACUAGUAUUUGAUUUGGUUGAAAAAAUAAGCAAGCAAGCAAGCAAGCAAAAACUUUUGGCUUGGCUUGGCUUAAUCAGAUAACAAGUGUUUGCCUGAUAAUUGUGCUCAGUGUGCCCAUUGAUUUGGAUUUGGAUUUGGCCAUUGAGAAACACAAUGGAGAUGUAUACAUAACACACAACUUUCAACAACGGAUCUCUUGGCUCUCACAUCGAUGAAGAACAUAGCAAAGUGUGAAAAUUAAUGUGAAUUGCAGAAUUCAGUGAAUCAUUGAGUUUUUGAACGCAUCUUGCACUCCUUGGUUAUUCCAGGGAGUAUGCCUGGUUGAGCAAUGUGAACAUAUCACAUCAAAGCUUAUUGUUUUUUUGCUAGGAAUAGUAUAGAUGAUAGGCUUUGGAAUUGAGUGGAGAUUACCUUGGUUUGUUUUUUCUUAUAAAAACAAGAAACAAGGUUCACUUGAAAUGAAGGGAAAGUUGAAGAGCAACAGAUAGGAGUGUUUGGUUGGUUGGAACAACAGAUAAGCAGUUGAGUGUUUGGUGUUGGUUGAUUUGAUUUGAUUUGAUUUGGUGGGGGGGGGAGAAAACAGCUUGCUCUAUAACAACAAUGACUUGAUGAGUUGAUAUCAUGACUCUUGGUAAAGUGAGGAAAAGUCUUGUUUAGAGCUGUUUUCUCUGUGCUGCUUUUCGUUCUGAUCAAAACUCUGGGUCUUUUCUCUCUUCCUUACAACUAGGAAAAGAAAGUGGGGGUGGGUGGGGAGUUUUUCUUUUUUACUUAGAAAAAAGAAACUCUCUCUCUCUUUCACUCUCUUCUUAUCAUCAUUCUCAACUCAGGCAAGACUACCCGCUGAAUUUAAGCAUAUAAAUAAGCGGAGGAAAAGAAACUAACAAGGAUUCCCUUAGUAACGGCGAGUGAAGCGGGAAAAGCUCAAUUUUGAAAUCUACCAAGAGUAACAUUCUUGGUCGAAUUGUAGUUUCUAGAAAGAGUGGCUGAGCGAAAGUCAGUUGGAUGCAAGUUCCUUGGAAUGGGACAUCAGAGAGGGUGACAAUCCCGUCCACCAUCCUUCUAACUUUCUCACAGAAAGGCCCUCUUUUCAAAGAGUCGAGUUGUUUGGGAUUGCAGCUCCAAAUGGGUGGUAAAUUUCAUCUAAAGCUAAAUAUGGGUGAGAGACCGAUAGCGAACAAGUACCGUGAGGGAAAGAUGAAAAGUACUCUGAAGAGAGAGUCAAAAGUACGUGAAAUUGUUGAAAGGGAAACGCUUGAAACCAGUCAAGGUUUAUUAGAAAUCAGGAGGGUUGUACCUUGGCAGGAUCAGUAGAGAGAUUGGGUGAUAGUGCCUGACUCCUCUGUUGAUUUUUUCAGCCAUGGGUUGCACCCUCUGUAUUUUUCCAAUAGACAAGUCAGCAUCAGUUUGGGUUGUUUGGGAGAAAGAUAACAGGAUUUGGUUGGGCUUUCGAAGGGCAUUUUUUUUAAAAAAAUGUCCUUUGAAGGCUUAAAGCCUGCUUAUCAUUAUAUCAAACACCAGACUGAGGAUCGCAGUACGAGGCAUUGACUUGGAAUAGAUGGUUGUCUUGGGUAUUGUUCUUGGUAAACAGCUUGCUGAUUACUAAGAAUCUUGAUACCCGAGUCCCAUCCAAUCCAAGCUGGCUUUCGACUUUUUGGAUGCUGACGAAAUGGUUUCAAACGACCCGUCUUGAAACACGGACCAAGGAGUCUAACAUGGAUGCAAGUAUUUGGGUGAUUGGAAACCCAUAUGCGCAAUGAAAGUGAACUGUUUUUUUAAUAGGUAGGAAACCUUCUUUUUAGGGGGAGGAGCAAUCUUUUCCCUGGAGGGUGGGGUAGCACUAUCGACCAAAUCUUGACUAGCUUCGGCUUGAUAGAUUUGAGUAAGAGCAUGCAUGCUGGGACCCGAAAGAUGGUGAACUAUGCCUGAAUAGGGUGAAGUCAGACGAAAGUCUGAUGGAGGCCCGUAGCGAUUCUGACGUGCAAAUCGAUCGUCAAAUUUGGGUAUAGGGGCGAAAGACUAAUCGAACCGUCUAGUAGCUGGUUCCUC